rnacentral:rRNA from 1 species
AUUGAACGCUGGCGGCAUGCUUUACACAUGCAAGUCGAACGGCAGCGAGGAGAAGCUUGCUUCUCUGUCGGCGAGUGGCGAACGGGUGAGUAUAGCAUCGGAACGUGCCAAGUAGUGGGGGAUAACCAAACGAAAGUUUGGCUAAUACCGCGUAAGCUCUAAGGAGGAAAGUAGGGGACCUAAAUAAGGCCUUACGCUAUUUGAUCGGCCGAUGUCGGAUUAGCUAGUUGGUGGGGUAAUGGCUCACCAAGGCAAUGAUCCGUAGCGGGUCUGAGAGGACGAUCCGCCACACUGGGACUGAGACACGGCCCAGACUCCUACGGGAGGCAGCAGUGGGGAAUUUUGGACAAUGGGGGAAACCCUGAUCCAACCAUGCCGCGUGUAUGAAGAAGGCCUUAGGGUUGUAAAGUACUUUUGUUAGGGAAGAAAAGCUAGUUUUUAAUAAAAAUUAGUGAUGACGGUACCUAAAGAAUAAGCACCGGCUAACUACGUG